rnacentral:rRNA from 1 species
UCCGUGGCUACGAGGACGACGCUGGCGGCGUGCUUAACACAUGCAAGUCGAACGGAAAGGCCCUGCUUUUGUGGGGUGCUCGAGUGGCGAACGGGUGAGUAACACGUGAGUAACCUGCCCUUGACUUUGGGAUAACUUCAGGAAACUGGGGCUAAUACCGGAUAGGAGCUCCUGCUGCAUGGUGGGGGUUGGAAAGUUUCGGCGGUUGGGGAUGGACUCGCGGCUUUUCAGCUUGUUGGUGGGGUAGUGGCUUACCAAGGCUUUGACGGGUAGCCGGCCUGAGAGGGUGACCGGCCACAUUGGGACUGAGAUACGGCCCAGACUCCUACGGGAGGCAGCAGUGGGGAAUAUUGCACAAUGGGCGGAAGCCUGAUGCAGCAACGCCGCGUGCGGGAUGACGGCCUUCGGGUUGUAAACCGCUUUCGCCUGUGACGAAGCGUGAGUGACGGUAAUGGGUAAAGAAGCACCGGCUAACUACGUG